CCUACGGGAGACAGCAGUGGGGAAUAUUGCACAAUGGGCGAAAGCCUGAUGCAGCAACGCCGCGUGAAGGAAGAAGGGUUUCGGCAUGGAAACUUCUAUCAACAGGGACGAAAGAAAUGAUGGUAGCUUAAUAAGAACCCCCUGCUAACUACGUGGCAGCAGCCGCGGUAAUACGGAGGGGGCAAGUGUUAUGCGGAAUUACUGGGUGUAAAGGGUGAGUAGGCGGCACGGUAAGCCAGAUGUGAAAGCCUUGGGCUCAACCCGAGGAUUGCAUUUGGAACUAUCAAGCUAGAGUACAGGAGAGGAAAGCGGAAUGCCUAGUGUAGCGGUGAAAUGCGUAGAUAUUAGGAAGAACACCAGUGGCGAAGGCGGCUUUCUGGACUGAAACUGACGCUGAGGCACGAAAGCGUGGGGAGCGAACAGGAUUAGAUACCCGAGUAGUC
rnacentral:rRNA from 1 species